CUGUGUGUUUGGGUGUGUGAACGCAGCACAGAUGUACACCUUAGUGUGGAGUAGAAGUCAAAGGCUGACCUUGGGUGUUAGUCUAAGCUUCUGCCUUGAUUGAUACAAAGUUUCUUGUUUGCAGGUUAGCAAAAAAAAAAAAAAAAAAAAAAAAAAAAGCUUGAGAUUCUUCUGCCCCCACCUCCCACAUCUCCACAGGAGUAUUGUAAUACGGUUACUGGAACUCUGAACUGUGUGUGUGUCUAGUAAAUGCUUCACCCUCUGGGCCAGCUUCCAGUCCAGUUCUCCAGCCUUUUAUCUCUUGGACAAAUUCUAAGUCUUCCGUUUCCAAAUUGCUACACAAUAUGGGAAGGAGAGAAAAGGAGAUGAAGAAUACAGAAUUGGUCUCUGGGAAAUGGUUACUCUGAACAGAAAUGAACUUCAAGGGGUGCUUGAAAAACUAACUCUACAUCAGCAAUGCCUGCGUGAAUGGACUGAAAAGAAUAACCACUGUUCUGUUGUGUGGAGGACGCAAACAGGACCUUGGAGCGAGGAAGGUUUUCCAUAUGACUGAAAAGAAAAGGAGCUGCCUUAAAUAGUGACUCUUCAAUUUGUGAACUGUGGUGCACACUGAGCCACCCCACCGAGAUGGUAACUGCCAAAUGAACUAUGGCAUUACACUGAACUGCUCCACGGAGAUAAGUGCCCAAGACGGCCCCUUCCAAAUUCUGAGACUCCAUGAUGGAAACCUAAGGCUUGAGAGCAAUUCCACUCAGAGCUUUGUUAUGACAAUUAGGCUGUGUAGGUUUCAGAGAGAGAAUCAUUAGCAUUUUAUAAUUUAGAAACCUAUACGUUUUUAUCUUGUAUCUAUCUGAGGCUGUAUAAAUGCCAUGUGCAUUUGCCUUUGAUGUAAAAGUCUAAACCAAGCACUUUGAUCCACUGAUGGGGUGUCAUUGACCUGGGGUCCCUCUGUCACAACACUGAUUUGUAGCUACACGAACAACGGACAGCAAACUAGGCUGCAGAUAGUCUAUAACCUUUUUUUUUUUCUUCUUUUUUUGGAGCUGGGGACCGAACUCAGGGCCUUGCGCUUGCUAGGCAAGCGCUCUACCACUGAGCUAAAUCCCCAACCCUUAUAAUCUUAGCAACAGGUCAGACACAUUGCUUUACCUAGCAGCCCCUCUACUUGAAACAAAUAGAUCACUCAUGACACUGGGUAGAAGUAAGGUUUUGUUUUUCACAAUUUCCCUUUACUGGGGUGAAAGGGGAAGAUUCUGAUACUAAGGUCUGGUUCCCUAAUUGGCUCUUGAUUUGUCAAUAACAAAGGUCAGGAGCCAAUUACUGGGCAGAAGGGACAGACGGGACUUCCAGGACCCAAGAGGAAAUGAGAUGAGGGAAGAAGUAAAGCUCUUACUGCCAUGCUUUGGAGGAAAAAGGUCGCAGCAACCACCCACGUAAGACCUUGGGGGCAGCUAGGGCCUAAGGGCGGGUUGCCAAAGAUGUUUGGCAGGGCCGAGGUGGAACGAGCCACUAAGAUUAGGGCAGGAGAAGAAACGGAGAUAAUAAGUUGGAAAGAGUAUGCAUUUCCAGCCGGGAGAUAUUUGCACCCAGCAAUUGUGCCUAGCAUGCAAGUUAAGGUGACAAAGCUGUCAGUGUUUCUUUUAUUCUCAGAUUCAAGGGAGUGGGCUGGUAACACAACAUCUCCUGGAACAAAGGUGGGUAGAAAAGGAAGCUGGGUUAGGGCUGGUAGCGGCUGAUCUGGGAGCUAAGCCAGGGCAAAGGCGGUAUCGUGAUUUUAAAACUACAUGCAACACUGGCAUACUUUGGAAAGCGGUUUGCCACCAAUGAAGAAUCAUGAACUUUAAUAGGGAACCACCACCUCCCAUGCCACCUCUAGCCGCCGGAGGAAGGGACAAGGAGCACACAGUUCUAAGCAUUCCAUGCAUGCAUUACUCAUAUGGCUCCUAGCUCUCAGUGAGGUGGGUGUAGUUAUCUACAGGUAUGGGCACACUAGUCGGUGAUUUGACUGGAACUCAUCCAGGUUGAGACACCAAGGGUCUACCGUGAGAGCAUUUGUAUUGUCCCCCACUACAUCACACUUCUUCCAUUCUUUUUUGAGGAUUUCUAUUGUAUCAUUAAGUGAGUAACAUUCUCUCUACAGCUUGCCCCUACUGGGGAACAAGUGAAGUAUCUAAUUAAGUGCCUUUUAGGUUGUCACACAAUUAUUAUUUGAUACAGUUGGCUGCUGUGAAAGCUGUGUUUUUAAAUGCCCUGUCAUUGGUUAUAUCGUCUAAGUUUUCAUUUUAAAAAAACUUAGAUGUAAAAUAUUUUUAAAAGUAUACAACUUGGAGUUGUAUAGGGGCUGAACUUAGUGUCUAGAGACAAGGCGUGGGUAGACCUUGCCUUCACCUAAUUAACAAGAGUCUAAAAACGGCUAGAGAGAUCACAGAUGUUAAUUUCCAUUUAAAUAGGGUGGCCCGAUCACACGUGUUUAUUUCCUCUCUGAAAACGAUUUUUAAAGUGACAUUGAAAGAAUCAACAAUGUAUGUACCAACAAAGCUGAUUUUUACAAGGCAUAGAAGGCUGAAGGGCUGAGAUUUAAGAAUCACAGCCAAAAACGAAGCUGUGGCCAAGUUACUCAAUGUCUGUGGGUUUAAUGCUAGGACCCUGUGCUUUCCCCACCCUAGCGUUACAGUGGGCAUCCAAAAAGUAGCAAAGGAUGGAUCGCUCUGAAAUUUCACUUAAGAAUCUGGAACAUUCAGCCCUGCCGGUAUUUUGACUGUUAUUGUAUGCCCACUGUGGGCUGCGGUGUGCCAGUGAAUAUGCCCAUCCUAUGUCUCUGAAGUUCAAAGCAUGUUUCCAUUUUUUAGCCACUUUCCUGAUGGGCGAGAGCCUGCGCUGACCUAGGGCCACACUAGAUUGAAGAACGACAGACUAAUUUCUAUAGAACUGGUUGAGUAACAUAAAACCGUGAAAUUGCGUCUCAUAAACAUGCUUAAAUCCUAAGUUACCAAUCUAUUUGCUGGUGGAGAGCAGUGAAUGUUUUACACUGGUUUCAUUGUCUCAUGCCAGUAGACAAAACUGUAGUAGGCUUGCUGUGAAGGUUUUUUAAAUCGCUAGUAUGUGCAAAAAGAAUGGAGAUCAAUUUUUAUUUCGAUAAGAAUUCUGUUCUUGUUUAGACUUUAGGUAUGGCCUUCUAUGCCCAGGCUUUGCUUCCGGCUUUUUCCCUAAGACUGCCCUCCACCCCCCAGAUACCAGAUAUGGAUGCAUUCUGACGAAAUAUCUUCACUAUCACUCUAAUUUGAAACGUGUUAGUGAUUUUUAUUUUUCCUUUCCUAAUUUCAAAAAUAUCCUGCCAUUUUCCUGGUUAAGUGUAUAAGAUUCUGGGUUUUAUAUCUGGGUUUCACAUCCAAGUUCUGUUUUCUUAAUCUGUAAAGUGGGGUUAAUAAUGGGAUCUUGUCACAAAAUUGUUGAGGAUUAAAUAAGAGGUACAUUUAAAAUUUUGGUGUAGCGCUUAGUAGAGAGUCACUCCUCAGUGAAUGUUAAUCAAAGACACCACUUGGGUGUGGCAGGGGUGGUAAUUUAACGUACCAAAAAUCAAGAGUAUCUAUUAAAACACACACACACACACACACACACACACACACACACACACACACACACAAUAUACCUGUGUAAUCACCAUGUUCUCAAGCCCUAAGAGAUCAUCACUUGCCCUUCAGCUUAAUGGACAAUGGAUCAGUAAAACCACACAUGAAUAUUUACCACAGACAUAUUCUCUUCCCCAUCUUCAGCCUCUUCUAAAUUUUGAUAUUAAUAAGGAAUCCGGUAGUCAUAUCUAGUUGCUAAUAUAAUUUCCCUUUUUCUUUCUCUCCUUACAGACUUUUCAUUUGGAAUGGCACAGUACUCUAUCAAAUAUACACAUGCAUGAAAAAUAUUUUUCAAAUAAAGAUGUCCAAGUGACUUAAUUCUGGCCAGUGAAAUAUGAUCCAUCAAGGAAGGUUCCAGGAAACUUGUAAAGGGGAAAUACACGUGCAGCAAUGCCCCAUGCACUGUCUCUUUCUUCCUGCCUCUAGAUGAUCCUGGUGUCCUGCAGGUACAAGAGGUAGUUUGGAAUGUAAAGACAGACGAUAUUUGACAAAGAUUACAGAGUAGUAAAACAGAAAGAACUAGAAGUCCUGAUGGCAUCCAGUACCCUAUAGCUGCUACCUAUAAAUACAUUUAUUGGAGAGGAAGAAAAACCAAACCCCAUUUAGAAAUACUUACCAGGUUUGUUGUGAACAAAUUCACUUGUACCUAGAUAGUGACAACAAAACGGGACAGGGCCGUGCACCCUGAACCCAAGCUAAGAGGAGAGCUUAUGGUCUCUCCUUUGCUACAGGUCAGAACUACUGCCCUUUUUACAGAAGCGGAGUACAGAAUUAGAGUAAAGCCUCUCUUCUCCACUGAAUGAGAUAGACCUCAGUUAACUUCUAACAUAGCUCUUCAUUAGCAUUGUAAGAAAUGAGUCUGGAAGGCAGUGCUGUCUCCUUUAAGGAAUCCAGGUAACUACACAAAUAGGCAUAAUACAGAACAGGCUCAAGGGCAUACAAGUCUUCGGGUAGAUGUUGCUGGUUGUCAGAGGGAUCUGGAAGGUGUCACAGAGAAUAGACAGGGUUUCCGUAGAAUAAAGGUUAAAAGAAGCAAACGGUAUAGGCAGAGCACGGAGGGAACUGGGAGGUGUGCUCUCAAGGUUUAAGGCUUGCCCUAUCAAACACGAUAAUUGUUCUCAGCUCGUCUUAUGGCAAAACACCAUUUUAGAUAGUGGUGAGCCGGAGAUGUAACUCCAUGGUAUACAUGUCCUGUUUCCAUCCCAAGCACGACUGUAAACAACCUCUAGGUCAUGUUGGCAUCAUGUGUACAUUUUAAUUCAACUACCCUUGAACUUCUAUUGGCUAAAACUGUGUUUCCCCAUUCAGUUCUUUGAAAAAGCAACAGAAGCACGAAGACAUUGCAGUUUGAGAAAAAUUAACACAAAUGUGCAUUCUUUGCACCUACGACCUGUGAAGGAGCACAGAAUACACUGGAGCAUCUCUAUUCUUCUUGAUUUGAUGAUAUCAUGCACCAAUGCUUUUAAUUGUAUUCCUUGCCAAGCAGAAGACUAUUACACAAAGGAAGAAACAGAGCCUUAGAACUGAUAAGAGCUUGUGCAUUGUGAAUUGUUCCACAGUGUGGGAGAGUCCCCAAUGAACCCUUGUUCACCACUUCAUCUCCUUCAUUUUGAAAGUGUGUGCUACAACAUGCUUUGUGACUGGAUGGAGAGAUUGCCCCUCUUCAAGGUUACCACAAGUAAUUAAUACCUUCAUUUUUUUUUCUUUAAA
rnacentral:sRNA from 1 species